GUCCCUGUAGCUCAGCUGGAUAGAGCACCUGCCUUCUAAGCAGGUGGCCGCCUGUUCGAAUCAGGCCAGGGACGCCA
rnacentral:tRNA from 1 species